AAGACUAUACUUUCAGGGAUCAUUUCUAUAGUUUCUUACUAGAGAAGUUCCUCUGAAUGUGUAGGGCACCCGAACCCACGAGGAGGAGAUAUAGCAUUCUCUUCUGAGCGUGAAGUUGGCUAUAGGUAUUGCUUCUUGCAACUGCCUUUUGCUAUUGAUGAUCGUUCUGCUCUCCUUAUAUGGAGGGCUAGAGGGAGAGAAUGCCUUAUGAGUGUU
rfam:Erinaceus europaeus unplaced genomic scaffold scaffold00001, whole genome shotgun sequence